UCACAGGUCCCUUAGCCCACUAGGAUUUAGCAUCUACCUUGAGGUAACUGUGGGGGGGACAUGUUGUGCUGCUGAGAGACUGCUAUUAGAGCUCUGAGGGGACGGAGAAAGAGCGCGGAGGUGCUGCGUUGAUGGGGAUGCUCUACUCGGUGUAGUCAGCUUCAGACAGCAUCGGAACUGGGUUCAGGACGGUACCUGCUUUAAUCGACGAGCUCUGGUGAUCGAGCAGAGCGGGUCCGGUCUCCCAGCGAACUCCUAUGUCGGUGAUGAGGGAGGUGGCCUAGGUCAGUGACGACGGAGGCAGAGGCGGCCUGUGACAUCACCACUGAAGCGCCACAGCCAGAUACCCGGCAAACAGAGCUAACAUCAGCGGACAUUAGCGGACAUCUCCCGCUCCGUUACAGUCGGCCCGUAACUUCACCGCUGAAGCGUGGCAGCCGGAAGCCACGGCACGGAGAGCAGAAGCAGAGACCAGCGGGCUACACUGUAGGAGAUCGGAGACACCGCAAGUGUUGAGGUUUCGUAUGUAUUACAGUACUCUCUCAGAUCAGGAUUUCCCGGACACAGUGGACCCGCUAGAUGAGUUAAGGAUUUUGACCAUAGGAUCAAAGGUUGCACGGACAACGGGACCCUUACAACACAGGACUCAUUACACCUGGAAUUGAUAAGGAUAUUUCAUGUAAGGCCUAAUGGUAGUUGCGCCACUAUUCAAUUUUCUUUUAUAAUAGUCUGUAACCGCACCAUCAGGAUAGUUGCAGUGACUGAUUUAAUUGCUGCCAACAUACAUCAGUGAUAACCUCACACAGAAUUAUAUGUGAACUGACUUCUAUAUGCAGCUCCUCCUAUUAAACGCAGCUCAGUGAGCAUUCUACACUAAAGCCCUGAGUUAUACCCUGCAUAAUACAGAGACAUUCAGCUAAUAUAAUUUAGGGCUGGAUUGAUGGAAGUAACUGUAAUCUAUUUAUGCUCCAGAGUCUUUCUAAUAGACAAACAUUAAGGAGAAGUUGAUACUAGACUCUAGAUUACUCACCACCUACUACAUGAAUAUAUUAGUUUUCUCAGGCAUAAGACUUUGGUAAUAAA